GGCACAGUGCCAGAGUGGUUAAUGGGUGAGACUUGAAAUCUCAUGGCUUCGGCCGCGCAUGUUCGAACCAUGCCUGUGUCG
rnacentral:tRNA from 2 species